rnacentral:rRNA from 1 species
UGGGGAAUAUUGGACAAUGGGCGCAAGCCUGAUCCAGCCAUGCCGCGUGAGUGAUGAAGGCCUUAGGGUUGUAAUGCUCUUUUUGGCGGGGACGAUAAUGACGGUACCCGCAGAAUAAGCCCCGGCUAACUUCGUGCCAGCAGCCGCGGUAAUACGAAGGGAGCUAGCGUUGUUCGGAAUCACUGGGCGUAAAGCGCACGUAGGCGGAUUAUUAAGUCAGGGGUGAAAUCCCGGGGCUCAACCUCGGAACUGCCUCUGAUACUGAUAGUCUCGAGUCCGGAAGAGGUGGGUGGAAUUCCUAGUGUAGAGGUGAAAUUCGUAGAUAUUAGGAAGAACACCGGUGGCGAAGGCGGCCCACUGGUCCGGUACUGACGCUGAGGUGCGAAAGCGUGGGGAGCAAACAGGAUUAGAUACCCCGGUAGUCCCUGAGCGGGCUGGCAAGGCGCAU